rnacentral:rRNA from 1 species
GCGAAAACUUUACAAUGCUGGCAACAGCGAUAAGGGAACCUCGAGUGCCAGGUUACAAAUCUGGCUGUCGAGAUGCCUAAAAAGCAUUUCAUAGCAAGGGCCGGGCAAGACCGGUGCCAGCCGCCGCGGUAACACCGGCGGCUCGAGUGGUAACCGUUAUUAUUGGGUCUAAAGGGUCUGUAGCCGGCCGGAUAAGUCUCUUGAGAAAUCUGGCAGCUUAACUGUCAGGCUUUCAGGAGAUACUGUCUGGCUCGAGGCCGGGAGAGGUGAGAGAUACUUCAGGAGUAGGGGUGAAAUCUUGUAAUCCUUGAAGGACCACCAGUGGCGAAGGCGUCUCACCAGAACGGACCUGACGGCAAGGGACGAAAGCUAGGGGCACGAACC